UACAUUUGACCAAUUAGAACUCAGCUAAGAAAUUACGUCACAGGUUUUCCCAACCUGUCAAUUUCGGCGUGACAAAUGGCCCGGUCUUGCGGAUUUGUUGUGAUUUUAUCGAAAUUAGGUAGAAACACCACCGCCACAUUCCAAUGCUGACAAUCGGUCACUGUAUAUUUUUUAUUACUUGAAGGAAGGAAAACAUCACCCAGAUGUAACUGUCGGUCACCAAAGUGGAAUCAGAAAGGCCGUUAAAAAAUAUUCCAUUAAAGGUAUGUUUUUGAUUAUUCCUCAAAUCAUAUUUAUCUAUCAGCUACAAUUCCUAAAUAUAAUUUGUUAGAUCUGCUUGUAGGAUAUCAGUAUCCUGUUAUAAUAUUUUAAAAGCCUGAUGAUAAUAAAAUAACUUAAAUUACUUGUACGUAUAUGCAGAUCUAUAUUUCAUCCAUGCAGGCCAUUUGUCAUGGUGCUGUGCAGGACCAUGACAUAUGGCCCUCUGCUUUAUAAUACUAUAUAUCCAUGUAAUAAGUUUAUAACAUACUUAUAAUAACAAGAAGAAACAUGUAUAAUGUAAUUUGAACUAGACAUGACAUGACAUGGCUUCUUAUUAUAGUAAUAAAAUAACUUAAAUCACUUGUAUGUAUAAGCAGAUCUAUAUUUCAUCCAUGCAGGCCAUUUGUCAUGGUGCUGUGCAGUACCAUGACAUAUGGCCCUCUGCUUUAUAAUACUAUAUAUCCAUGUAAUAAGUUUAUAACAUACUGUAGGUAGGUAGGAACUUUUUAUUAUUUAUU
rnacentral:misc_RNA from 1 species